GUGGGGAAUCUUGCGCAAUGGGCGAAAGCCUGACGCAGCGACGCCGCGUGGGGGAAGAAGGCCUUAGGGUUGUAAACCUCUUUCAGGUGGGACGAAGCCACUCGGGUUAAUAGCCCAGAGGGUGACGGUACCGCCAGAAGAAGCCCCGGCUAACUACGUGCCAGCAGCCGCGGUAAUACGUAGGGGGCAAGCGUUGUCCGGAUUUAUUGGGCGUAAAGAGCGUGUAGGCGGCCAGGUAGGUGGGUUGUGAAAACUGGAGGCUCAACCUUCAGACGUCGACCCAAACCCCCUGGCUAGAGUCCGGAAGAGGAGAGUGGAAUUCCUGGUGUAGCGGUGAAAUGCGCAGAUAUCAGGAAGAACACCCGUGGCGAAGGCGGCUCUCUGGGACGGUACUGACGCUGAGACGCGAAAGCGUGGGGAGCGAACAGGAUUAGAUACCCCGGUAGUCC
rnacentral:rRNA from 1 species